AUGAGGCACAUGGGGCUAUGGAAUCAGAGUCUGGAAGACAAACAGAGGCCCGAUGGGGCCAUGAACUCUGGCUGGGAUGUGAUUUUAUGGAAGCAGGAGUUGGUGAUCAUUUAUCAAAAGGAGCGAUCUGAAACGUUGCAUCUCAAUGGAGUGAUAGAAAACAGUGUGGCAGAAAUCCACUUCUCUUAUCAGGGCCCCGAAAGAUGCUUCCAAGAAUUCAUGAGCAUUUAUAUCAGCAUUCUUCUACAAUCACAGGAGGAAGGGGAGAAGACAGGAGCUCGGAGGUUCAUCAAUUGGGAAAGCGAACUGAAUGCAGAAUUCUUCCCAUAGCAAGUCAUGUUAUCCACGCAAGCAGCCCUAUGGACAAGGGCGAGGCCCUACAGUGGUUACAACGGCGGACAGCACAGUGGGUCCAGACACACCACAGAUCAUUGCCAGCCCUGCGCGGGCAGCUACUUGGCCAUGUUCCUGGCCCUGAACCACACCGAUGAGCUGACCUUCGCAUGUUAGCUAUUGUUUUCCAGAGAAAACUGGGCCUAUGCAUGUUGUACAGACAACACGGAUUUAUGUCUGGUUUUGGAAAAAAUAAGUUCUAGCAUGCACUCUACUGAAAAUAGGCCGGUUGCUGGAGCUUCACGUCUUUUCACUGUUGUUCUGUGAAAAACCAGAGCAAAUGAUAAGUUCUCAACUCUUUUGCUAUGGGCCAAAAAUGGAAGAUGUCUAUAAAAGCGCCUCCCCGAUAUAAGGAAGUGACGCUGGUUCUAGGAAGAAGAGAAGACGGGCUUCCUAGAGGUUUCAGAUGUGCUAACUGCCACGUGCACGCAGGAGACCUUAACCUCUGUAGUUUUCAGAUGGAGGCAGCGACUAUCCACGGUACGUAGUAAUCAGAGAUAAUAGUAAGCUAGAGAGAAUCACUCCGCCUUGCAGUCUGGCCCUUUCCACAAUCUGAGCAACAGAAGGUAUGCUCUUCCAGGCCACGAGCUGAUUCUUUCUUGUUCAGUUGUACGCUGGGCCCCCAACACCGCGUUUGACAUGAUGCAUGCUUGCCGGAAGAGAAAUGAAUGAAUCUGAGUGUUUUGCUUACUUAUCGCUAUAUAACUCUCAUCUGCUAAUAAAUGGUGUGUUGUGAAAGUGGCCA
rnacentral:lncRNA from 1 species